AACGUCAUCCCCAGAUAGGACCUGGGAGACAGCGGCAGGCUCCAUCCAGGAGUGACGCACUCGCGGACAAACAAGCCCCCCAGCCUCUGGUCCCUCUGUGGCUUUCCUAAAGACAGGCUCGAUGACCGAGGAUUACUCACCCAGAGGAAAUCACCACUUCAAGGGCUCACAGACUCCCCUCUGGGCCUAAAUCCUCCCCCUUCUUCAGAUCCCUGCUCUAGCCCCGGCCCUCAGAAGAGGCUGUCCGACUUCCCUGAGUAGAUGCUGCCAGGAUGUAAAAAGAAGACUGCGGCCCAAUCCCUACCUUCACAGAGCUCCAACUACCAGCCCAUCAGUAUAGACCACUGGGAAACCCCAAGGCUUUGGAAACAGACAGACCUGGGUUUGCAACCUGGUACUACUGUGUGACAAGAAAACCUCUAAGGACUCAGUUUUUCCUCCCUAAAUACAGCCCUGUGCAGCUCGGACCAGCUUCACACAGACAACCUAUCAGCGCCUCGCCUCCUGCCCAGGGAU